AGACAGGACAAGGCUGUAGUCAGUCUCCUGCUGGUCACAUUACAAGAGUUACAGAGAGGAACUUUAGUGCCCUGUGGAUCUCUCCCUACUCUGGCUGUGCCAAAGAGAAACCAAAGGGAAUGUGGAAACAGGCCUGUGACCUCAGCACUGCAGGACCAGCCUGGGCCCCACAACAAAUGGAGAUCAGGAGUGAACAGGGUUGGGGAGGGAGGGGGGGAGCAGAGGGAGAGGGGGAGGGAACUGCUGUCCUAUUGCCCCAGGCCCUUGACUAUCACAUACCCAGCUCCACUUACCGUUCCCUCAGUUCACUGAUAAGAUCGAGUUUUUUCAUGACAACUUGCAGGGGAAAGAGUUCUUCAUCUUUGAAUGUUUUCUAUUAGCAGGAAGAGAAAACACAAAAGUGUAUCACCACAAGGCCAAGUCUCCUGGGCUAAUAAAUGACCUGUGAACCUCAGACCUUCAUGCUGAUUCCUUUAAGAAGAGCAAUAAACUUACCAUUUGCGUGCCAAC
rnacentral:lncRNA from 1 species